AUUUCUGCUGUUUACGUGUGUAACCCAAAGCAAGAGUUGUUCUUUUCACCUUUUUUGGUAUUUGUAAGAGAAGUGGGAAGAUGGUGAAUGUUCUGAAAGGUGUCCUGAUUGAAUGUGACCCAGCAAUGAAGCAGUUUCUGCUGUACUUGGAUGAGUCAAAUGCACUGGGAAAGAAGUUCAUCAUACAAGACCUGGAUGAAACCCAUGUCUUUGUAUUAGCUGAGCUGGUUAACUUCCUCCAGGAGAGAGUGGGCGAGUUGAUGGACCAGAACUCUUUUCCUAUUACUCAGAAGUAAAAAGACUAGAAUAAUGAGAUUACUGUGAGUUUUGGAAGAGUGAAUUUCAAUAGCUUGAGUUGUUACUGUUUUAGUAGAUACUCUGUGGUUUCUGUAGAUAUUUUGUGUUGUGUUCUACAUGGAAGUGGCUACUCUAGAAAAAUGAUCAUUUUCAUAGACAAAAUACUCUUGAAUUGUAUUUUAUUUCUCAUUGUGAUAUAUUUAUUAAAAUCCUUAAAAUGAUACACUUGAGGACUUGCCUAGAGAAUUAUUGAUGCAUGCUCUCUGUUUUUCCUUUAGGAUUUUUAUCUUGCAAGGUGGUAUGACCCAAAGGUUGGAGUGGUGUUUCUGUAUUGGAAUGCUAUAUGAACUCCUCUGACAUGUUACAUUCAUGUGGAAUUGAUUAAAUCUGGUUGUAGUGUGACUGAUGGAAUGUAAAGUAUGUCUGUUAAAGUAUGAUAGAACAUCUUGAUAAAUUGAAGGCAUUGUCAGAUGCUGCUUUAACUUAAUGGGUUUUAUACACCAAAAAGAAAGUUGGUAUGAGUUUUCUUUUUGUUUAGUUGGUUUGGUUUUUGGUUUUUUUUUGUGUUACUUUUGUUGUGUGUGUGUUUUUCUCCCCAAACAUUUUACGAAUGCUCUGUACUACUUGCCUACUUUUACCAAGGUUAUGUUUUCUGUGUUUUGGGUGUGGUGGUGGGAAUCUAAGAGUUUGGAGAGAAGGAUAUGGGGGGGUGGGGACAACAAAAGCCAUUAUCCCAGAUCGUAUUUUAGUUGUAAACUGAUUAUUUGUAUAUCAACAAUAGCAAAUCGAAGGGCUAACAUAAAUGGGAGACCAGUCCUUUAGAUAUAAUUGAUUGUAUUUUUCCACUGAAGCUAAUACCUAGUCACAAUAAGCUAUGUGAUCAGGAAGGGGAAAUAAAGACUUGGUAGCUCUACCUGUGAAGAAGAAAGCUGGUUUUGGCUUCUUUGGAGUGUUGGGUUUUUGUUUGAUUUGUGAUAGUGGUGGUGGUUUUUUCUUCAGCGUAGCUCUUCCUCAAUUAUUGUACUUUGCUGCAAAGAAAGAGCCUUACAAUUUAAUAGGUUUUCCUCUCUUAGAACAGAAGUUCAGGUUUACACUUGUAACUCAUCUCAGACACUGGCUUAUUUAGUAAGUUAGCUAGUGCAUGAUGCUAAAACGUGUGAAGAUUCCUGUCUACAAUUAUGGCAGAUACAGAUGACAGAAACACAAAUAAUAACAAGUUUUACCUUUUCUCUUAUCCUACUUCUUACUCAAAAUAGUCAAAUUUGUUCAAUUUUUAAGUAAUCAUUUAUAAAUGAAAGACUUCUAGGAUAUUACUUCAAGGCUUGGUUUUCAGAGGUGCUGAUGUACAUCAGAUGCUAUUUUUUUAUCUUUGGGGGCAGAACAAUUGUAAGCAAGAUGUUUUUUCUAAGGAACAGUUUUCAUUACUGACUCUCCCACUGUUGCUUUUUUGCUUUUCCAGUAGCUAUGAGAUUAGUUGGUGUGGGUUUUUUUUCCAAGGAAUAGGGAAGCUUUGGGAAAAUGCUUUUUUUUAAUCAAAAAGCUGUCUGAAGAAAGUUCUGCAAAAUUGCAAAUAUUCAGGCUUACGUGAAUCAGCAAAUAGCCCUGGGGAAUAUGUAGCUCCCUGUAGUUUCUGGUUCACCCCCAUCUCUCUGACUCUGUAGAAAAGUGGUUUCAUCUCUUGUUUUUUGUUUUUGUUUUGUUUUGUUUUGUUUUUUGAGUAGAUGCUUCCCCAGUAAUGUGGAUCAAAAAACAGCUUACCUUGAAAUAAAAAGCUGAAAAUGGUAUGAGUGGUUUGGUUCCUUACCUCUUUCUUGAGAUUGGUCAAACAUUGAUCUUGUAAAUAUUAUUUUGUGGAAGAUUAUUGGAGCUCUUUUAAUGGAGAGAUAGUCAGUAGUCUUAACGUGGCAUGGUAGCUUAAUGCAGUUUAUUUAGAAGUGUCUUAUAACCUUUCUUCAGAAUCCUAGUUUAUUUUUCAUCCAGAUUUUGAUGAAAGCUAAAUGAUCCAUUGCUGUCUCUUUUUAAAUGAUGGUAUUUGAAAAGUAAUGUUAGAAUUGCACCUGUUAAACUUCUCUCUGUUUAGCAUAUCUAGUGCUACAUUUCUAUUGUGAUUUUCAUGUUGAGUCUAUGAUAAACUUCUGACAGUCCUUGUCUUUUUCUCCUGGUUAAUUGUACAGUUUUACCUGUAUUUUAGCUUAUAUUUUCAGUGAUAAAUGUCUUAUAUAAUACAGAGGGAUAGAAGUUCUAAGCUGUAUAAACUGAACAGUUAGGCAUGCAUUUUUAUUCUCUUUGCUCUCAGUCUUUUUUGAGCAAACGUGUUUCUGGAUUUUAACUUCUAAACCUGUCAAAACUUAGCUCCUUCCUGCAACCUUACCAGGCCUAGCUGAUUCUAUGCUGGAAGAAUAAACAAAAGAUAUAAAGAAGCAAAUUGGUGUUGCCUUAUGGGAUCUAAGGAGCUGAGUUGUUUGUAGUUUCUAGGGUCUUUAAUUAUGCAGAAUGGUUAAGGAAAUCCAAUGAAGAAGCUGUUAGAUUAUGUAUAUGUAUUAAAAACAAACAAGCUCACCAAACAAAAAUGCCCAGGUGUUUCUGGGGUUUAUUAAACUUGGGCCCCAGAAAGCUUUUUAAAAUUUAUUUUUAAUGCAUAUAGUCUGAGAACAAAUAUGCUUUUUAAAAUAUGUACAUAUACAUACGUGUGUGUAUGUAUAUCCAUCCCAGAUGGGAGAAAAGUAUAUACUAGCUUUAAAAAUGUCAAGGCAUUUUGAGAUACUUAACAUUUAUGCUUACAGACUUUAAAUAUUUUUGCUGGCUUUCAUUCAGGUAUGAGGUAGCAUUGGUGAGUUGAGCUGAAGGAACGAAACAUUGUGUUAAGGAUCUCUUAAUUUUUGUAAAGGCUGGAAGCAUUUCAGAAUAAAAGGUUAAGGAGAUCUGUUUAAAUAUAUACAUGUUUUGUUAGUAGAGUUAAUAUGGUGUGAGCAUCAGCUCUUGCUAUAUUUGGAAUAUAGUAUGUUAAUUUAACAUUUCUGUCCAUAGCUAGUAAGUUCACUGGGUUUUGGUGUCUAGCAUAGGGACUAUACUCUGCUCAGGUCUAUCUUGGGCAGCAAAAAUAGAGCUUGAAUGACACACUUCUUGUUGCUUCUUGUUGAAUCAACAAGUUUUAUCUUAAUGGGUUUCACUCCUAAGUGUUGAGAUGGUGCUUCACUUUCUGCUUUCAGUCUGUUAAAAGUAUCUUGUCUACUGGUAGAAGAAUAUGGUAGAAAAAUUACCUAAAGGAUGCUUAUUUGGACUUAAUUUCUUCAUUGCUACUUAUUUAUACUUGGUAGCUCUAAAAAAGCUUGCAAGUUCACUUGUUUGUGUUUUGCUAUAUAAACAGUUGCUCUUAGGUAGUUACUCUAACUUUGACAAGCUUUUCAAUGCCACUUUCACUAACACAAAUGCGGAGGCCAAAUAGUAAUAUUUAAACACUGACAGGCUCUUGGGGCCCUGACACCUCCCUGGGGAGCCUGUUUCAGUGCUCCAUCACCCUCUACGUGAAGAACCUUUUCCUAAUGUCCAACCUAAACGAGGGGGCUCACCCCAGCAGCCCACCGAGCCCCUUUCCCGGCACCCUACGCACCCCUUCCCCACACAGCCCCUCCACCAACAGUCCUUUCUUUCCUCACAGCCACCUGCAACCAGGCUCCCUCCACGCACGCUUCCCGCACCCUGACACCCAUCGCCCAGCACAGCCAGCCUCAACCAAGGCCACGCCCACCCCCAUUGCCCGCCGACAGCUCAGGUCCGGCCGUUACCGCGGCAACACCGCCCGCCCUCUCCCCGCCCCCUCAGCCCACUGGCCAGCCACAGGGAACGGGCUGCACCGCCGGCCAGUGAGGGGGCGGCAGGCGGGCACUUAGCGCACUCACCAGCCAAUCCGCCGCCGGGGCCGCAGGGUGGGGCCGGGUCCCCGCGUGGCCGCGACUGCGCUGGGCGGGGGCGGUGGCCCACCCAGUGGCUCCGAAAUGCUGGGAGCCCAGUCAGGGGGCCGGGGGUUCUCGGAGGACCGGUGAGAUCCUGUCCGCAGGAAUAAGCACCUGGGAGAAGCUGGGAAUUGUCCCGCUCGGUAGCUGGAGGAGAAGGGAGAACCUCUGAGAGGCUGUGGGAAACACAACCCAGCUCGGUUUUCCUUCUGAUAGAGGAAUUGUCAGAGAAACUGUUGAUCUUCACAAAGCGGUUUCCUGAGAUGAUGGCAAAGACCAUGUUUUCGGGUAGCUGAGAGGGCCUCUCGCCUGGCUCCCAACCGCUAUUGAUAACACGCCGCGUCUCCCGUUAGGUCUGUGUGGAUCAGCGGGGAACACCUGCCCUGGGAUAAGCUCUGCUAUGUUAUCCCAUCAUCCAGUGCAAGGUUUGCUCAGUUUCCUCCUGCGCAAGAUAAAGUUCAUUAUUACAUAAAGCUGAAAGACUUAAGGAAUCAGCUGAAAGGCAUCGCACCAAACAGAGGUGCAGGAGGUGCAGUACACAUUUGACUUGCAACUUGUGUAAGGUAUAGUGGUUAUUUUUUUUUAGUCCUUUAUUUAAAUGCAGUGUCAUGUACAAUACAAUGAACUGUUUUCUAAGCAAAAAGAAAUCAACAAUUUAAGGGGAGAUAAGAGACAUGCCAUAUUCUCUAAAUUAUGUGGCAUAGAAUUACAAGUUCCACUCUCUUUUUAAUAUAGUUUUAAUUCUCUAAGAGGAGCAAAAUUAUCUUUAAAAUGUGUGGCUGUUUUUUCAAGCAUUCUCUGAUAAAAGCACUCUUUGAUUUUUUUUUUUUUUGUUCUGAAUAUUAGUGCUUGAUGUCUUCUCUUUUGUCAGAGAAUGCUAAAGAGAUAGCUGUCAAAGAAAAAAAAAUGUGAUCUGGAUUAUGAAGCAGUACAUGGAGGAGCUUACUGCAACUGUACACCGUAUGAAAGCAAACAGUGCCAUUUCUCUUCAAAUGGAACCAGUAAAGCUCAGUGCUUGGGGUGUUCAGCCUGUAAACCAUUACUUCUGGUUGAAAAAUAGAGGAAAGAUGGAUACUGCAAGUAUCUUUUUUUGCAAUUGUUUAGGGGUUGUUUUGGGAGGUCAGGGGGCUUUUUGCUAGUGGCGUCAUCUGUAUUUUUAGUUUUAGUGGUAUCAGUUGCAUUUUUUUUAAACUUAUUUCAUUUUGUUUGUUUGUUUGUUUUGGCAGCAAUCAAUCCACAGUGCUGUGAAGGGUUGUUCUUCGGUGAAGUUCCCAAUGGACAACAGAUGACCCAGUCCUUUGUGGACCAGGUUCCAGAGUUACGUGCUGGUUUGACACGGGAAGAAGAGGGAAGCGGCACCUAAGAGCUGUUUCUUCUUGGCCAUCCAUACAUGCUGCGGUUUUAAUGCAGUGAUCGAGAUCAGUACCUCGCUUCUCCAACUGAAGCGUAUUAAUAGUAUUUUAUCUCCACUAGUUAUUUUAUUAUAGUCCAAAGUAAGCAUGUGGUAGGCUCAAAUCAAUAAACUAGAGAAUUUUAAGAAACUGUCCAGACUUGAAAAAAAAAAAGUUAGUAGUUUUUUGUAUAUGAGUUUUAUAUUUAACGUAUACCACUUCUUGUAUUUUUUGACAAAUUGUGUUCUUAUUUGUGAAGAUUUCUUUGGGGUGUUAAUUUUAUUCCAUAGAUCAUCAUGUAGUAGUAGCAGCAGCAGUAUACUUUUUACUGAUGCCUCAAAAUUUGGAUAAUCUCACAAUCCUUUUCUAUCCAAAGGGGAAAAUGGGAAGUACACCCUUAUCUUACAUGAAGUGGUGGUUUUUAUCAUGCACAGUUAAGCAAAUUGUGCUUUUAAGUCUGCCUUUUAUGUUAAAAAGUGCAGAAAGUUGUGUUCUGCAGCUGUGAGUAAUGAGUAUUUUCUGGGUGGGAUGAGAAAGCUCUAAGUAGUGAUUGGGCCAUAUGCAGGUUGAAGAGAGUGGAGACAUCAUCUCAAGUCACAGCACUCGUGAGGAAAAUUUGUGUUGCACAGGACAGGCCCUAAAUAUGCUCGCAGAGCUGUUUCAGGGCAAGGCGUCUCUGCCACUCCAUCUCUUUCCACCUUAAAUUCCAAUGUAAGGAACUGGAAUUCCUUAUAAAUGAACAGUGGUACCUGAAUUCUGUGGCAUUUAAACUCUUAGUCAUUUCUGUGUGAUUAGCCUCUUCACCUGGCCUUUGACCAAAAGACAAGCCCUUUGAACACAUUACAUUGCGGGGAACAGAAAGACCUUCUUCUCUCUAAAAACCAUGUGCAGCUACGUUGUUUGCAUCAGGUACAGUUAGAACAGGGUGAAGGAGAUUUGUGGUUUAGCAGCUGUUAACAUUCAGUUCUCUUCGAUCUCUAAGACCUUGGAGAGUGUUCUCGUUCCUCUUAGAAGGAAAAAUCACUAAGUUAAACAUAAGGGCAGCAGUUCCCUUGAAGUCAGCUGUAGAAAGUACAGCUCUUUUCUGAGGAGCUCGCUUAAACGAGACACAUUUUUGGCCAGUAUUAGUGACUGAGAAAGAACUGAGAUUCCAUGCUUGUGCCUGACCAUCUUCUUUGCCUCUUCUGUCAGGAGGGAAGAGAUGAAGUAAAAGCAGUAAGCUGACCAAAACAUGAACGUUUUGGUGAUCUUAUGACAGUAGGUGCUUCGCAUAGUUGAAAAAUAGGUACAAACAGUAUCUCCGCAAUGCACACUGGCCAGAGAUUCCUGUACUGGUGUGUUUCAUCCUUUCCUCACAGCCAGUGACAGUUGUCAAGCAUUUUGUGUAGCCGAUUAGUGGAGAUUCUAAUCCUGCUGUCACAGCUCUUACUGAGAUCAUGCGCUGUUGACCUGAUGUGAGGCAGGCAUGAUGUUUACAGUUUUCUUCCCAAAUUAUGUGGCUUAAUUCUGAGCAUCUUAAAUCAAGAAAGUGUGCCUUACUAUUCUGAUUGUGUUUAUUAGUGUCAGCCUGCAGCUGUUCAGUAUGUUGUCCAAAAGGUAUAGGAUUUGUCUUGUCUAUUAUUGAAAGUGUACUGUAUUGUGUAUUGCUGUUUACAUGGAUGUUUUCCUGCAGGUGCUCAAAGUAUCUUGCAUCAGGGAUUUGUUACAAUUCCAUUUUAUUGUUCAUCAAAACUCGAUGUAUGUAAUGAGCACUGCUGAGUAUGUAGCACAGUAGGAUAGAACUACUGUAAGACUGUCCCAUUUGAUUGGAAGGGAAAGGUCUCUUUAAUGGACUCACCUACUGGGUUCUCUAGGUAUCCAAUACAGCAAAAUGUACAAUGACCGUUUUGCUAUGCCCCACCACCCUGAGGCUCUGUCCCUGGGCUCCUUGGAUCUGGAUCUCCAAGCAUUGCCUUGCCUUGCUUCUUAAACUAACUCUUCAUUUUUGGUCUUAUGACUUAACUAAUGACAAAUGUAAAAAAUAGGGUCUCUGAUAGAAAUAUGAUGUGGAGAAUUUUUUUUUUUUUGCCUUUAAAAAAAAAUAUGGAAUAAAAACAAUACUUUACCCAUCUUUGUUUCAUACAAAAAGAUUUUUCAGGACUGAAGACUGACCAGUAAGGGGAGCUCUUGCCAAUAUUUUAAACUGCUUUUUAAAAAAUUGCUGCAGCAUGGCCAGUAGUGGGUCCGAGACUUACUGUGCUUUGGAACAUUAAUAUAUUUCUCUCUGGAUGUGCUUUUAGCUGGAGAUGAGCAUUCUACUUCAAGGGAUCCUAGUAGAAAGACAUAUACUGUAAGAGGUUUUUGGAAUGUAGUAACUUUAGCUCUGAAAUUUCUUCAAUAUUAAGUUAUCCAGUAUUUAGUUCCAUUACAUUAAAAUGAUAUGUCUAUAAUGUGAUCUUCCCUUCAGAUGUUGCUGGUAGGUCUGUGCAUCUCCACACCACUAGUCCUAAAGUAGUUAUUCUGUGUUGUUACAUCAUUUUUAGUAAGCAUAAGUCAGAGGAAGACAUUGUUGAUACAGUCAGAAGCAACUUUUAUUAAUUUCUAUUUCCCUCUUUAUUUCCUCAUCAUAUGAAAUGCAUGUGUUUUUUAGGGUACCUGUACCUCACUGCACGUCCACCAUACUGUAUGGAAGACACAUACAAGAACUAUUCAAUCUUACUGUGUUUCACUCUGCACUGGGGAUUUUUUUCCUCUGUAUCCCUAAGGGAUUGCUGAUAGUCCAUAGAAAUGAGACAUAUAGAAAGUUUUUCCCUGAUUGCCCCCAAAAGUGGAGAGCUUUAUUGGUUUACACCUAUAUAAAGGUAAAAUUCAGUGUGUUCUCUAAGCAAAAAAACAAAGCCGCAAUACCUACCAGUGAAGUUUUAAUGUGGUGGGGUGGGGCAGGGGGAGAACCCUACUACUUUGGACAUUAGUGUCUGUGUUUUUCAUAUAGACAGAAAGAAUUUUCUCUUACUGUGUAGCAAUAAUAAAAUGAUUAACUGCAGAACAGAAAUGGAUUAUAAAAUUGCUGUCCAGUGAACAAAUUUUAAAAGUGAAAAUUUUAGAGUGUUAUUAUUUGCUUUUAGCUUUUAGUGCUCGAGCAAUUCUAGGUUUUAGUAACAAUAGCAAGUAUAAGGUUGUUGGAAGAGAUGUGAUUUUCGGAUUAAUGUUUUUCUUUCACAAAAAAAAAGGCAACUCAUAA